rnacentral:rRNA from 1 species
GUCAAUGGCGCAAGCCUGAUCCAGCCAUGCCGCGUGUCUGAAGAAGGCCUUAUGGUUGUAAAGCACUUUAAGCGAGGAGGAGGCUACUUUAGUUAAUACCUAGAGAUAGUGGACGUUACUCGCAGAAUAAGCACCGGCUAACUCUGUGCCAGCAGCCGCGGUAAUACAGAGGGUGCAAGCGCUAAUCGGAUUUACUGGGCGUAAAGCGCGCGUAGGCGGCUAAUUAAGUCAAAUGUGAAAUCCCCGAGCUUAACUUGGGAAUUGCAUUCGAUACUGGUUAGCUAGAGUGUGGGAGAGGAUGGUAGAAUUCCAGGUGUAGCGGUGAAAUGCGUAGAGAUCUGGAGGAAUACCGAUGGCGAAGGCAGCCAUCUGGCCUAACACUGACGCUGAGGUGCGAAAGCAUGGGGAGCAAACAGGAUUAGAUACCCUGGUAGUCCAUGCCGUAAACGAUGUCUACUAGCCGUUGGGGCCUUUGAGGCUUUAGUGGCGCAGCUAACGCGAUAAGUAGACCGCCUGGGGAGUACGGUCGCAAGACUAAAACUCAAAUGAAUUGACGGGGGCCCGCACAAGCGGUGGAGCAUGUGGUUUAAUUCGAUGCAACGCGAAGAGCCUUACCUGGCCUUGACAUAGUAAGAACUUUCCAGAGAUGGAUUGGUGCCUUCGGGAACUUACAUACAGGUGCUGCAUGGCUGUCGUCAGCUCGUGUCGUGAGAUGUUGGGUUAAGUCCCGCAACGAGCGCACCCCUUUUCCCUAUUUGCCAGCGCGUAAUGUCGGGAACUUUAAGGAUACUGCCAGUGACAAACUGGAGGAAGGCGGGGACGACGUCAAGUCAUCAUGGCCCUUACGGCCAGGGCUACACACGUGCUACAAUGGUCGGUACAAAGGGCUGCUACCUAGCGAUAGGAUGCUAAUCUCAAAAAGCCGAUCGUAGUCCGGAUUGGAGUCUGCAACUCGAUUCC